GGGGGCGUGGUUUAGUGGUAUAAUACCUCUUUAGCAUAGAGGUGGUCCGGGGUUCGAUUCCCCGCGCCUCCA